ensembl:lncRNA
ACACACACACACACACACACACACACACACACACACACACACUCUUACCCAUUGCGUGUGUAUGUGUGUGUUUGCAUGUGAAGUGGUUUAGACAGGAUGUUUAAUUAUACGGAUCUGAAACCCAAGAGCAAGCUGCAUUUGUACCAAAAGCUCGAGAUGGAAGCAUACCUGUUCUUUUUUCUGCUGACUUGCACAAAUAUGCAAGUUGCUUCUGCUGAUACAUCUUUGUCGAAUUUAAAAUCGGCUGACACACUGACUGUGCGACAGAAAGAGAACAUCACACUGCAGUGUGACAUCACUGGCCAUGAGGAUGUGGCCUGGUAUCUUCUGAGUUCGGACAGGUUUACACUUCUGAUCUCAGCACGGAAAACUCGCACGCGUAAAGGCCUCCCAGUUUAUUAUAACAAAGACGAGAGUCGCUUUGCCCUGAAGCCAGACAGCGAGAUUAACACGGCUAUCUUCACCAUCUUCAGUCUAACGGAGGACGAUGAGGGACUUUAUUUCUGUGGAACUGCAGCCAAGCCAACACAGCUGCAUUUCGGCAACGGCAUCAGACUGCAGUUUGAAGUGGUUUCCUGUUUCCAUUUUGGUGAAGAGGAUGUGAGAUGCUCAGUAACAGCGUUUUGAUUGUCUUAAUUCCUCUCAGAGAAAAGCAAAGACACACAGGAAACUUUCUCUACACAGAAACCACAUGAAGAAGAAGUGGAGAAUAGUGGAGCUGUGAGUGUGUGUGAGAGAGUGGUAAUGUUUGGUGGUGUGGGCGUGGUCACCUUGCUCUUAAUCCUGACUACUGUAGUUGCAUGCAGCGUGAUCAAACAUGGACAACGUCAGUCAUGAGAUAAAUUGUGCUGAUGCAAGUUAUUGAGCUUUAAAAAAAGUUUUUACAAAUAAUUUACAAAAGUAUUACAAAAUAAAGUGUUUGCACAAGUUGUGAUUUUUCUUGUAUUUAAUUCUGUAAUGCACUUUGAUGUUUUCUCCUUUUUAUUGUUCUGUAAUGUCCCUCUAGAGGUAUCUGUCUCUUCACUACUGUUAGAUUCAACCGCAACUCGAACUCCAUUUCCCAGCAUACACAGCGGCCUACAAACACGGCCGCCCCGACACAACUUCCCACAACACACACACACUCCUACGCUCUCAGUCACUGCACUUUUAAUGACACACACACACACACACACACACACACACACACAUUCUCAUUCACACACCAAUCAUUGUGCACUAUAUAAACCUCUUCUUGUUUCAGCCUCACUGUGAAGUAAUCACUCAGUUUCUCUUGUGUUUUGUCAUUAUCAAGCCGCUGUUAUUGGUCUUUGUGUCCUGGUUUUGAUCUUUGCCGAUGUUUUUGAUUGGUCACUGCUUUGCCUCUGUUACUCUGUUUGCUCGACCCUGCUUCCUCGAUGUGCUUUUUUUUUGUUUUUUAUUUUUAAUAAAUUUGCAAAGAUUUCAAACAAACUUCUUUCACGUUGUCAUUAUGGGGUGUUUGUAGAAUUUUGAGGAAAAUAAUGAAUUGAAUCCAUUUGGAAUAAGACUGUAACAUAACAAUAUGUGGGAAAAGUGAAGCGC